AAGAAAAAAAAAAAAAAAAAAAAAAAGAAAAGAAUUUUUAUAAUAAAAAAAAAAGAUUUGUUAUAGUGAAUAGCCUUCUGGGAUAUAAAAACAAAAUAUAUAAAUAAAAUUGAUUUUCCAAAGUGUUUAAUGAAUUCUUUACUAAAUUAAAAGCAAAAUAAAACAAAGAGGAGCAGAUCCA
rnacentral:lncRNA from 1 species